rnacentral:rRNA from 1 species
AUUGAACGCUGGCGGCAGGCCUAACACAUGCAAGUCGAACGGUAACAGGAAGCAGCUUGCUGCUUCGCUGACGAGUGGCGGACGGGUGAGUAAUGUCUGGGAAACUGCCUGAUGGAGGGGGAUAACUACUGGAAACGGUAGCUAAUACCGCAUAACGUCGCAAGCCCAAAGAGGGGGACCUUAGGGCCCCUUGCCAUCGGAUGUGCCCAGAUGGGAUUAGCUAGUAGGUGGGGUAACGGCUCACCCAGGCGACGAUCCAUAGCUGGUCUGAGAGGAUGACCGGCAACACUGGAACUGAGACACGGUCCAGACUACUACGGGAGGCAGGAGUGGGGAAUAUUGCACAGUGGGCGCAAGCCUGAUGCAGCCAUGCCGCGUGUAUGAAGAAGGCCUUCGGGUUGUAAAGUACUUUCAGCGGGGAGGAAGGGAGUAAAGUUAAUACCUUUGCUCAUUGACGUUACCCGCAGAAGAAGCACCGGCUAACUCCGUG